rnacentral:rRNA from 1 species
UACAGAGGUCCCAAGCGUUGUUCGGAAUUACUGGGCGUAAAGGGCGCGUAGGCGGCCCCUUUUGUCGCGUGUGAAAGCCCCGGGCUCAACCUGGGAACGGCGCGCGAAACGGGGGGGCUUGAGUCCGGAAGAGGAGAGUGGAAUUCCUGGUGUAGCGGUGAAAUGCGCAGAUAUCAGGAAGAACACCUAUGGCGAAGGCAGCUCUCUGGGACGGUACUGACGCUGAGACGCGAAAGCGUGGGGAGCGAACAGG